AGUUAGGCGUCACCGGGCGCUUAACGGAUGCGAAAGCAUUUUAUCCGUGUCGUUAGGUCUUUGAAGAUACGGAUAAAAUGCUUUUUUUCAG
rnacentral:ncRNA from 1 species